GGUCGGGUCGUUCAACGGUAGGACCGGUGCCUUUGAAGCAUCAGACGAUGGAUCGACACCAUCCCCGACUACCA
rnacentral:tRNA from 1 species